rnacentral:lncRNA from 1 species
UAUUUGCGUGCCGCCACAAAACCAUAGCAGCAAAAUCCUACUAAAAUUACUCUCUCUCUCUCUCUCUCUCUCUCUCUCUCAUAGUCUCACUUGCUCACAUAGUCGUUUCUGCUAAAUUAUUUUUCUUAAUAUUAUAAUACCGUAUUCAUGCAUUUUUUUUAUAUGUUGAACUAUUAGACAUAUUUUUUUUUAUCAAAUUUUAGAUAAUAUUCCAUAAAAAUUAAACUAUAAAUU